rnacentral:lncRNA from 1 species
GUGUCCCUUACAGCCCCCUGGGCCAACAUCAGGAUAGAGACAACUUGCAGCAACUGUUACAUCCAGACAACCUCUGUAAGAUGUUUAAUGAGGUCAGUCAUCUGCUAUCUCUGACACCCUUGGAAGAUGUUGCAAGUAUUCAGACACCUUUGGAUUCCACAGGUUAUGUGAGAAAAUCAUCACCUUCCAAAUUCCCUGCUCUCUCCUCAGUCCCAGGAGGGGAACUAUUGCCAGCCUCUCUGUUGAAGCUUUCUCCACCUUCCUCAUUCUCUCUUCCCCCUAACAUGGUCAUGCCCUCAGCUGACCUUCUCUCACCUUCCCCGUUGAGUGACUCUCUGCCACCAGAGCCUCUUCCUGCCUUGGACUCCAAGGCCACAGAAGACCCUUUGCCACCCCCAUCACUUUCCCUCCCCCCUCCCCCACCACAUCCCACUCAGGAAACAGACACUCUUCUACCACAAGAUGCCACUCUGCCUGUGGUGAGCAGUCCUGCUGGCUUGUCCACUUCUGUUCCAGUGGGAGGCAUGGACCAUUCCAGCACAGAGCCCCCUGCCAAGAAUAUGCUGUCUUCCAAUUUGGCACAAGAUGGUGUAAAACAGCAAUUUCUUGCCCUCCGUUCUGAGAACUUAUCUGGGGGAGACACUGUAGCCUACUGUGUGGAGACUCAUAAUAUCUGGUUUCUGCCCCCUGCUGUCCUGACAUGCCUGGAGAGACAAAUCAAAAAGAGGGGUGAUGUCCUCAAGUGGAAAGAAAAGGAAAAGAAAGCAGAAUCUUUUCCAAAACAACACCAGCCAAAUUACCAAGGAUUUUCUUCAGAGAAAAGGUCAGAGUCAGCUGCUGAUCAGCAGGACUCGGCCAUUUCUCUUCUUUCAUGGAACGAAAAAGGCAAAUCAGAGGAACCACAGGUGGAUCAGCAGUCCCCUUAUCCUAGGAGCUUUGAGGAUCAUUUACAGAAAAACUACACCCAGCUUUUCUAUGGUGUCCCAUCUCUACACCCCAAGU